rnacentral:rRNA from 1 species
AUUGAACGCUGGCGGCAUGCCUUACACAUGCAAGUCGAACGGCAGCACGGGUGCUUGCACCUGGUGGCGAGUGGCGAACGGGUGAGUAAUAUAUCGGAACGUACCUUAUUGUGGGGGAUAACGCAGCGAAAGCUGUGCUAAUACCGCAUAAUCCCUAAGGGGGAAAGCGGGGGACCGCAAGGCCUCGCGCAAUUAGAGCGGCCGAUACCUGAUUAGCUAGUUGGUGAGGUAAAGGCUCACCAAGGCAACGAUCAGUAGCUGGUCUGAGAGGACGAUCAGCCACACUGGGAAUGAGACACGGCCCAGACUCCUACGGGAGGCAGCAGUGGGGAAUUUUGGACAAUGGGGGCAACCCUGAUCCAGCAAUGCCGCGUGAGUGAAGAAGGCCUUCGGGUUGUAAAGCUCUUUUGUCAGGGAAGAAACAGCAGCUCUAACACAGUUUGCGAAUGACGGUACCUGAAGAAUAAGCACCGGCUAACUACGUGCCAGCAGCCGCAGUAA